ensembl:lncRNA
AAGUGACUUGCCUGGGGGUAAUAUAACAAGUAAGUGUCUGAAGAUGAACUCAAGUCUAAUUGAAUCCAGGUCCAGCACUUUAUCCACUUGGUCACUUAACUGCCUCUUAGUAGUUGACCCUGUACUGUAUCUUCCAGAGUUGCACAGAACAUACCUCCCAUAGGUCACGUGGCUCUGUAACCAGAAGCAUUUGCUUGAAUGAUGCACAGUGUAAUACAAUUUUAUCACUGCUGAUAACGUUUCUGGGAAAAGUGGAUGUUAACUAUAUAUGUCCCUGUUUAGAAGAAAGUAGGAUAUUUAUAUGAAUUUAAAUUUAUUAUUUUUUCCUAUCACAAAUGAUGUACAUGUUAUAUUUUGGUGGAAAACAACAUGUUUCUUUAUAUUAUGCUGUACAUUAGAGUAGAAAGGGAGCUGAAAAGUCAAGAAAUCUGAGUUCUGGUAUUGGCUCUGGUAUCUACUUGACUAUGUGACCUAAGGCAAGCCAUUCAGAGUUUUGAUUUCUUCAACAGUGAAAACAGUUAAGUCAGAAAAGAGUAUCUUUAAGGUCAUGUGAUACUUUUUCAUAUCACUUAGAACUUUAAACACUGAAGUCAGAAUCCAGUAUAUUGUAUGAAGGGAUUAUGUUAUCCAGGUAGGCCAAAAGAAUAAUUCAUGUAUAUUAUUUACCUGUGAAUAACAGUUCUUUGAAACAUUAUUAACUGUAGAGUAGAGCUCAUGUGGUACAAAGUAGGGAUAUAAGAGCAUAACUAUUCAUGAACUAAUUUUUUGUAAAAAUCUAUCUAAAAUUAUAGAAUAUUAAGCCAUCUAAAAAUUUUCAGUCCCUUUUUUAAAAACAGGAUGAAUGGAUGGAUGAACAAACCAAAUUUAAGGUGUAGCAUGUCUUUUAGUAAUGUAUUUGAUUUGCUUAAAAGUAAUUGAGGGAGAAAAAGAGAAAAAUGAGGGGAAAAGUGACCUUAAAACAGACACUUUGGUAAACAAAAGCUAAAUGAAAGUCUUAAGAAUUCUAUAAAUUAUGUUGUACUCAUAGUAAUGAAAUCCAAAAAAUGUAAUUCUGAUGAUGAUGGUUAUGGUAUUUACCAAGUAUGUAUAUGUGAUACAGACAUGUAAAUAUGCUUAAAAACUAAUUUUUAGGGCAUGUGUUUCAAUUACAAUCAAUGUCAUAUUCUGGAGACAAACUUUCAACAUAGGUGAUAAUUAUCUUUCAGCAAUGAAGAUUAGAUUUACCUUGUUAGCUUUGGUGAGCAGAGCAACUUUUUGCCUAACCAUUCCCCCCAAAAAAAGCCAUUUUUAAAAUAAAUACUAAGGAGCCAUUAGAUACGAUUUUUUUAUUGUUCAUUUAAUGUAAGCCAGAUAGGAUACUAAAAAGGCAGUUGUAACUCCUUUACAUAGUAUAAAUUUACAUCUGGUACUUCUGAGUUAAACUUUUUUUGUGCGACCAUUAAAAUAAUGGAUAUCCUAUAAGAUAUCUUAUAGAAUACAUUUUCUGAGAAGAGCCUAGAUAUAUAGAUAUAGAUAUAGAUCUAUAUAUACACUAGGCAUUAAAAAAUAACUUGGCCACAUAUUGAUAGAUACUUUGGUAGGAAUUUCUUGGAGGAGGAUCACUCCCAGCAAAUUUUGGUCUCAAGAAGAAGGCCAGUUGAAACUUUUGACUGGGAUAAGCUUUUGCACACCUUGCCAGUUAGAGAGAUAGUCAAUAUAAGAGGCAAUUGACUUCCUCAAUCUUGAUUUGAGGCUAAACUAAUUUGGCCACAGAAUACUUUGGGAUUUAACAUACACUAUAGACAUAUUUUUUCUCUCUGAAUGCUGGUCUGGCAGCAUGGACUAUCCAUAGACUAAAGAAAAAUUAAGGACUGUUGAAGCAGGAAAAAAAAAUAAGCCUAUUUUCAUAUCCCAAUAUUGCCACAUGUAAAUAGAUAUUUUUGAUACAUGAUUGCAUUUUUAAUAUUUUAAAGAGGAAAGUGUUACUUGGAUUGACAUAUUCUCACAGAACCUCUAAUUAUAUCAUGCUGAAUGCUAACCAGGGUGCAGGCCUAGUUUAGAUUUUUCCUUUUAUACAUUUCUUAGAUCUUUUCUGAUUAUAUUUAUGUGCUUGUACUUACACAUAUGCAAUCAGUAAUGAAAAGGUAAACUUAAACUUAUUUUAAGAAAAUUAUGGACUUGGUGACUUUUUAACAAUUUGGUAAUACUAUACAUAUUUGGAAAAAGCAAACUAUUAAUGUUCCUCCUAAAUAGGGGACAGAGGCUAGAGAAAAACCCUUGCCAGUGAACAAUGAAUUAUAACUACCAUCUAAAGCAGACAUAUUUCAAAUUGAGAUUACGUCAUUGAUCAGCUCUUCUCAUCCUUUUUGUUUUUUUCUGUUUUAAUACCUACCACACUCCCCAAAUCAUCCAUAAAAUUUCCCCUUUUCUCUAUAGGGCUUUAUUUAUACCUCUUACCUCUCUCAAUAUAUGGCCUCACCUCCUACUUUGCAGAGAUUAAGGCCAUGAGUUAUAAUCUCUAUAUUUUCCCAUAUCUCAAAAAGCUCUGUGCAUUUCCACCACUUGUUUCCUUCUUUGCUCUAGUGUCAUAGAAUGAAUUGGCCCCUCUUCUGGUUUUCUAACAUAUACCUUGGAUCCUAUUCUCCUUCUCUUUCAGAAGUUUGCCCCAUUGAUCAUUCCUAAUUUCUAUUUCCUUGUUCCUUUGAGCUGUUCAGCUUUCCGAAAUCCUUUAAAAAGCCUACUAGGCAACAGUACCAUCCCUUCAUGCUAUCACUCUAUAACUCACUGUUUUUUCACUGCUUAAUAGGCAGAAAAAAAUAGCAUGGAGAAGGCAAUUGCAAAUGCCUAAGUGGUAAUAAUUAAGACCAGCUUGUCUUUUAUCGCCUCAAAACAGCACCAAAUGUGCCAAAUAAAAUUAGCAACCAAAGAGAAAGAGAAAAAAAGAAAUCUGCAGAGGAAAAAAUGAAAAGAGCAACUAAAAAAAAUAUGUGGCACAAAAAGGCCCAAACAACAAUGUCAACAAGAUACUCAGAUGCAAAAAUGGAUCUACGGUAAAAAAAAUCUUCAAAGUAGUUUGGAAGUACCAUACACUAAAUGAAAGGAAAUCUAGCAUCUAGUAAAAUGGAUACAGAAUUAAUGAACAGAAAACAAACAAACAUGAUAUUUAGCAGGGCCAAGAAUCAGUGGAAAAUCUUAAUAAAUCAAUGAAUUUUCUUUGGAAUAGAAAAGCUCAUAUAGAAAACAUGAGUACAGAAGUAACAACAGAUAACAAAGCAGAAAUUUAAAAACAAAUAACAAAAAAAAAAAAAAAGCAGAAGUGGGAUAUCUGUAAUCCUAACAAAAAUAUCAGAAGUAGUAGACAAAACUUACUGAGAAUUACUUAUGUCACAAUAGAUACACAGAAUGUAAAUGCCAUGUUUCAGGAAAUAAUAAAGACAAUUUCCUGGAAGAAGUGAUUAAAGAGAACACCCAAUGUAACAUCAUAAAUCUGAAGAGCUAUAUAGUUACUUGAAAGAAGUGGAAUUAACUGAGUAAAAGAAGUCAACUCUAGCAACCCCACAUGCUUUAUUUGUUUGGGGAUUUCUUCAAAAAUAGGUUAGUUCUUAUGGGAAAAUGGAGGCCCACUGGAGAGGGAAAGAAGGUUAUUUUGUGCUAUUCAACUGUUCAUUUGUUUAUGGAUUUGGAUGUGAGUAUUCUGUAUUUUUGAUGUUUGCUGUUAGGUCAAUAAAGCCUGUCCUAUAUUUGAUGUAUUGUUGGUCUGAAUGCUUGCAAAGGAACAGAAGAUCCUUUAUCUUUGCGUACAAACUUAGCCACAAGCAAAAUUCUGACAUAGCCAAGGAAAAGCUAGCUGGAGACAUUAGUCAGUGGAUAUAUGUUAGGGGGAAGCUAGCCUUGCCUAUGUAAACUUAAACCAUUUGAUUCUGUACUAUAGGU